CGCGUAGGAAUCUACCUAGUAGUGGGGACGAACUACGAGGAAACGUACGAGCUAAUAACCGCCAUACGCUCUAUGGAGGAAAGUAGGGGAGUCUUCGGACCUCACGCUAUUAGAGGAGCCUGCGUUAGAUUAGCUAGUUGGUGAGGUAAAGGCUCACCAAGGCUACGAUCUAUAGCUGGUCUGAGAGGACGAUCAGCCACACUGGAACUGAGACACGGUCCAGACUCCUACGGGAGGCAGCAGUAGGGAAGUCUUGGGCAAUGGGCGAAAGCCUGACCCAGCGAUGCCGCGUGUGCGAAG
rnacentral:rRNA from 1 species